rnacentral:rRNA from 1 species
UACAGAGGUCUCAAGCGUUGUUCGGAUUCAUUGGGCGUAAAGAGCUCGUAGGCGGCUUGUCGCGUCGACCGUGAAACCUCACAGCUCAACUGUGAGCCUGCGGUCGAUACGGGCAGGCUAGAGUUCGGUAGGGGAGACUGGAAUUCCUGGUGUAGCGGUGAAAUGCGCAGAUAUCAGGAGGAACACCGGUGGCGAAGGCGGGUCUCUGGGCCGAUACUGACGCUGAGGAGCGAAAGCGUGGGGAGCGAACAGG